CACUACAGGAGAAUCAUCAAAAUCAUGGAUUAGUGUCGGUAGAUUUAAACUGCCGCUAUUUGACCAACUUUGAAUUCGACGACACUUUGCUGACGGUUUUGAACCACUGCUAUUUAAGGACCGUUGAGUUUUUCAAAUUUAUUUAGCGGCGGUUAAAAAUCCCGCUAUCUGAUA